rnacentral:rRNA from 1 species
UACAGAGGGUGCGAGCGUUAAUCGGAAUUACUGGGCGUAAAGCGUGCGUAGACGGUUAUUUAAGUCGGAUGUGAAAGCCCCGGGCUCAACCUGGGAAUUGCAUUCGAGACUGAAUAGCUAGGGUGCGGUAGAGGGAAGCGGAAUUUCCGGUGUAGCGGUGGAAAUGCGUAGAUAUCGGAAGGAACAUCAGUGGCGAAAGCGGCUUCCUGGACCAGCACCGACGUUCAGGCACGAAAGCCGUGGGGAGCAAACCAGG